rnacentral:rRNA from 1 species
CCUACGGGCGGCAGCAGUGAGGAAUAUUGGUCAAUGGCCGAGAGGCUGAACCAGCCAAGUAGCGUGAGGGAAGACGGCCCUACGGGUUGUAAACCUCUUUUGUCUGGGAGCAAAGCGAGUCACGUGUGACUCUUUGAGAGUACCCGAUGAAAAAGCAUCGGCUAACUCCGUGCCAGCAGCCGCGGUAAUACGGAGGAUCCGAGCGUUAUCCGGAUUUAUUGGGUUUAAAGGGUGCGCAGGUGGAUUUUCAAGUCAGUUGUCAAAUUUUGGGGCUCAACAGUAAAAUUGCGUUUGAACUGCGCAGUGUUGAGUACAGUAGAGGGGGGUGGAAUUCGUGGUGUAGCGGUGAAAUGCUUAGAUAUAACGAAGAAGUCCGAUUGCGAAGGCAGCUCACUGGACUGAAACGGACACUGAGGCUCGAAAGUGUGGGUAUCAAACAGGAUUAGAUACCACUGUAGUC